rnacentral:rRNA from 1 species
GCUUAACACAUGCAAGUCGAGGGGCAGCAUGAACAUAGCUUGCUAUGUUUGAUGGCGACCGGCGCACGGGUGCGUAACACGUAUCCAAUCUGCCCGUUACUCGGGGAUAGCCUUCUGAAAGGAAGAUUAAUACCCGAUGGCAUGUAUUUCCGGCAUCGGAGAUACAUUAAAGAUUUAUCGGUAACGGAUGAGGAUGCGUACGAUUAGAUAGUAGGCGGGGUAACGGCCCACCUAGUCUACGAUGUCUAGGGGUUCUGAGAGGAAGGUCCCCCACACUGGAACUGAGACACGGUCCAGACUCCUACGGGAGGCAGCAGUGAGGAAUAUUGGUCAAUGGUCGGAAGACUGAACCAGCCAAGUAGCGUGAAGGAUGAAGGUUCUAUGGAUUGUAAACUUCUUUUAUACGGGAAUAAAACCUCCCACGUGUGGGAGCUUGUAUGUACCGUAUGAAUAAGCAUCGGCUAACUCCGUGCCAGCAGCCGCGGUAAUACGGAGGAUGCGAGCGUUAUCCGGAUUUAUUGGGUUUAAAGGGAGCGUAGACGGGAGAUUAAGUCAGUUGUGAAAGGCUGCGGCUCAACCGCAGCACUGCAGUUGAUACUGGUUUCCUUGAGUGCGGUUGAGGUGUAUGGAAUUCGUGGUGUAGCGGUGAAAUGCUUAGAUAUCACGAA